UAGUGCUUUUUUGUUUUGUUUUUUGUUUGUCAUGCUUUAAUUUCUCCCACCCUUGGUUUUAUGUUCUGUUCAGCACAAAGUUAAUAAUAUUAGAGAGAUCAUUUGUGUUACGUGUCCAAAGCAAGGAGAAGUAAAGGCAGACAUUUUCAGUGGGGUUUGUAUUCAAAUAAUUUUUCACUAGUGCAUGUAGUAUAUAUUUGAUAAAAUCUGGAGGAUAUGUCUGGCUUCACAUCUGUAAAGCUUGCCUGUUUCUUGUAGGGAACCUGACAAGUUCAGGUCUUGGUUCUGAUCUGGAUGCUGAUUGUUUCUCAGACCACAGGAGAAAAAGAAGUCUCCAGGCUGGAAGGAUUCACAUAACGUGGGACAGACCAGGAGGUGAUGUUUCAUACAACAGAACGCCAAAACAACACGGGGCCAUUCCAGUCCUUCUCAAGCC